rnacentral:rRNA from 2 species
AGACCCGAAACCCGGUGAUCUAGCCAUGGGCAGGUUGAAGGUUGGGUAACACUAACUGGAGGACCGAACCGACUAAUGUUGAAAAAUUAGCGGAUGACCUGUGGCUGGGGGUGAAAGGCCAAUCAAACCGGGAGAUAGCUGGUUCUCCCCGAAAGCUAUUUAGGUAGCGCCUCGUGAAUUCAUCUCCGGGGGUAGAGCACUGUUUCGGCUAGGGGGCCAUCCCGGCUUACCAACCCGAUGCAAACUGCGAAUACCGGAGAAUGUUAUCACGGGAGACACACGGCGGGUGCUAACGUCCGUCGUGAAGAGGGAAACAACCCAGACCGCCAGCUAAGGUCCCAAAGUCAUGGUUAAGUGGGAAACGAUGUGGGAAGGCCCAGACAGCCAGGAUGUUGGCUUAGAAGCAGCCAUCAUUUAAAGAAAGCGUAAUAGCUCACUGGUCGAGUCGGCCUGCGCGGAAGAUGUAACGGGGCUAAACCAUGCACCGAAGCUGCGGCAGCGAACGUAUCACUUAAAGCGAUUCAGCGGGUUACGAUUGACGGAGCGAAGCGACGUCAAAGCGUAUACAAAGUCGAGUCGGUUUAAGGAUACGUUCGUUGGGUAGGGGAGCGUUCUGUAAGCCUGUGAAGGUGUGUCGUGAGGCAUGCUGGAGGUAUCAGAAGUGCGAAUGCUGACAUAAGUAACGAUAAAGCGGGUGAAAAGCCCGCUCGCCGGAAGACCAAGGGUUCCUGUCCAACGUUAAUCGGGGCAGGGUGAGUCGACCCCUAAGGCGAGGCCGAAAGGCGUAGUCGAUGGGAAACGGGUUAAUAUUCCCGUACUUGGUGUUACUGCGAAGGGGGGACGGAGAAGGCUAUGUUGGCCGGGCGACGGUU